CUCAGAACUAAGGUUUUUGAAGUACUUUUUAAGAUCAUAUACCCAGUGAUUGAAACGGUAACAAGGUGCUCUUUUCUAUUGUUCUGAGGGGGAAAUGUAGAAAAAUAAUUUUUCAUGACCAGGUCAAUGGAAUUUGGAGAGAAAGAACCCUACUCGGAAACCUGUUUCAGCAGGAUUUUCUUACCCCUUCCAAUGAAAUAAAUUUCACCAUGAGAAAAGAACUAAAUAAAAUGAUCAGUUAGUGUAGGAGACAAAUGCUAAUAAAUGAUUGUGGAGGUAGGCAUUGUGGGGCAAGAUUAUCUUAAAGAAGAAAUGCUUCCUAUGCUCAUGUACACACAUGCAUACAAACAUGCACAAACACACACACACAAAAAAUCCCAGUUUUGGGGUGAGGGGAGAAGCCAAAUUCUGGGUAGAGCUGGAGAUAGAAAAACUUGAAAGUCCAGAAAUCAGUAUAAACAAAAGACAGGUGCAUACAAAGGGGUUUUGACUAAGUAUCACUGCAACUGAGUUUGUUGACUG